rnacentral:misc_RNA from 1 species
AAAAUCUCACAAAGUGAAACUUUUUUGUUUUAAAUUGUGGACCUGGAUUUGCGAGUAUUUUCAAUAUUUGCUAAUCUAAAAUGAAUUUCAUGAAGCUUAAAUAUUGCUUUAAAUCUUUGCUUAAUAGUUUUGCUUUGUCAAAUCUUUUGCAAUCAUUUUAAAAGCCCAAAAAGUGAAUUGAUUUUACGAAAUCUAAAAUCUCAUU